AAACAAAAAAAAACAGAAAAUCGCUUUGAAACUGCCGAACUGGGAUCCUGGGCCUCACUCCGCAGGCCUCGGAGCGGGCGUCAGAGCCAGGUUUUGCAGUCCUCUCGCCUCAGCUGCGGCCCCGCGACCACAAUUCCAGGUGCCCGCCAGGACCCUUCGAGCCCCGACAGCCCGGAAGCGCCUGACCACGCCUACCCACUGCGCCUGCGCGAGGCGCCCCCUCCGGCGAGCGGGGAGACUGGCGCUGGGCGGGCCGAGAGGCUCGUCGCGCCUGCGCGAAGGCCCCGGGGAGCAGCGUCGUUACUUUCCAAACGACUGGCGGGAACCGUUGGAGGCCGUGCGGUCGCCGUCUGGUCUGCCGGGCAGCAGCGCGCUCCCUCGUCCCUAGGCCUGGCCGUGGCGCCGCAGCUCUCCCGCGAGCAGAGGCGGAAAUCGUGGCCCAGUUCUUCUAUUGGUUAUACAAGUGUUCAGUUCAGAAACUGGUGGUAUUCAUCUCAAAUAUUGAAAGCAGUGAAGUCCUUGAAAGGUGGAAGUUUGAUAUUGAGUGCGACAAGACUGCAAAAGAUGACAGGUAAGUAUGAAUUAAACUGCUUCCACUUUCAUAGAUUUUUUUUCCAAAACUUGUUUUCUUGACUCAAUGAGUUCUAACUAUAUUGAACUAGUUUCGUAUAAGGUAGUUUGUUUCUAACUAUGUUAGAUCUCCCGUGGAGAAGAAUAAGACUCACAAACUGUGCUCACAAAAGAGUCGUGCCUAUUAUGGACUUGUAUAGUGUACUUUUAACAUAACUGCCCUUAGUCUAAAAUCCAUAAAUUUCACCCUUUAGUAUUUAUGGUGCUAUAUGUAAGCUACACAUGAUGUAUUAGGUGGGCCAUUUAAUGGAUUGUGUCAAGGUACUUUUAACCAUGAAGUAUUAUCCUAGAUUUUCUCCUAGCUUGAUAUGCAGCUCUACUGUAUUUCAUUUAACGCUAUUAACUUCCUAAGACACUCUGAACUGAAGUUCUUAGAUCCUCUGGAUGGGAAAUGCCCCCUCAUUAUAUGCUAAUUCUUAGCAUUGUCCCAGGCAUGCUUACCUGUAAACUCAGAACUCUCUCUCAUAAUGAAAUGUAGUUUGUUCCUGAAGCCUUUGGUCUGUUUUAGAAAAUGUUUAUUUUAUUUUUUAAUGAAUUUAUUUUUUAUUGGUGUUCAAUUUACCAACAUACAGAAUAACACCCAGUGCUCAUGCCGUCAAGUGCCCCCCUCAGUGCCCACCACCCAGUCACCCCCACCCCCGCCCUCCUCCCCUGCCACCACCCCUACCUAGUUCGUUUCCCAGAGUUAGGAGUAUGUAUGUUCUGUCUCCCUUUCUGAUAUUUCCCACACAUUUCUUCUCCCUUCCCUUAUAUUCCCUUUCACUAUUAUUUAUAUUCCCCAAAUGAAUGAGAACAUACAAUGUUUGUCCUUCUCCGACUGACUUACUGCACUCAGCAUAAUACCCUGCAGUUCCAUCCACGUUAAGCAAAUGGUGGGUAUUUGUCAUUUCUAAUGGCUGAGUAAUGUUCCAUUGUAUACAUAAACCACAUCUUCUUUAUCCAUUCAUCUUUCGAUGGACAUCGAGGCUCCUUCCACAGUUUG
rnacentral:lncRNA from 12 species